CCUACGGGAGGCAGCAGUAGGGAAUCUUGCUCAAUGGGGGAAACCCUGAUGCAGCAACGCCGCGUGGAUGAUGAAGGUCUUCGGAUCGUAAACUCCUGUUGUUAGAGAAGAUAAUGAGGGUAACUAACGAAUAACCACCCGCUAACUCCGUGCCAGCAGCCGCGGUAAUACGGAGGGUGCAAGCGUUACUCGGAAUCACUGGGCGUAAAGUGCGCGGAGGCGGGAUAGCAAGUCAGAUGUGAAAUCCUAUGGCUUAACCAUAGAACUGCAUUUGAAACUGGGAGACUAGAGUAUGGGAGAGGUAGGUGGAAUUCUAGGUGUAGGGGUAAAAUGCGUAGAGAUAAAGAGGAAUACUAAUGGCGAAGGCGACCUGCUAGACCAUAACUGACGCUGAGGCGCGAAAGCGUGGGGAGCAAACAGGAUUAGAUACCCUAGUAGUC
rnacentral:rRNA from 1 species